rnacentral:rRNA from 1 species
GAUAAACGCUGGCGGCGCACAUAAGACAUGCAAGUUGAACGGACUUAAUCGAAAUAUUUAUAUUUUGAAGCGGUUAGUGGCGGACUGGUGAGUAACGCGUAAGGAACCUGCCUAUUAGAGGGGAAUAACAGCGAGAAAUCAUUGCUAAUACCGCAUAUGCCAUAGAUAUCACAUGAUAACAGUGGGAAAGGAGCAAUCCGCUAAUAGAUGGCCUUGCGUCUGAUUAGAUAGUUGGUGGGGUAACGGCCUACCAAGUCGACGAUCAGUAGCCGGACUGAGAGGUUGAACGGCCACAUUGGGACUGAGAUACGGCCCAGACUCCUACGGGAGGCAGCAGUCAGGAAUAUUGCGCAAUGGAGGAAACUCUGACGCAGUGACGCCGCGUAUAGGAAGAAGGUUUUCGGAUUGUAAACUAUUGUCGUUAGGGAAGAGAAAGGACAGUACCUAAGGAGGAAGCUCCGGCUAACUACGUG